rnacentral:rRNA from 1 species
AUAACACCUGGAAACAGAUGCUAAUACCGGAUAACAACAGAUGAUGCCUAUCGACUGUUUAAAAGAUGGUUCUGCUAUCACUCUUGGAUGGACCUGCGGUGCAUUAGCUAGUUGGUAGGGUAACGGCCUACCAAGGCGAUGAUGCAUAGCCGAGUUGAGAGACUGAUCCGGCCACAGUUGGGACUGAGACACCGGACCCAAACCUCCGUACGGGAGGCAGCAGCG